GGGCGGUCGGAGCCCGAAGGGCAGCGGCAGCAGCGUGCGGCCGUCAGGUGGGUCCCGAGGGGUGGUGGAAGGAGCGCUGGGUGCCCGGGAGGCUCCAGAUGGACGCUGCAGCCUUCAAGGGGAUCGUACAGGCGGGAGCUGGAGCCCAAAAAUCUCCAGCUGGACCCUACAGCCUUCAGCUGGAGUCUGGAGCCAUUCACCAGAGCUUGGGAGCCACCAGAGGGAUCCUAAACCCAGCAAUUCAACGCCAAGAGGCACCAGCUGGACCCUAAACCCAGCAAUCCAACCCCAAGAGCCACCAGAUGGACCCUAAACCCAGCGGUUCAACCCCAAGAGCCACCAGAUGGAUCCUACACCCAGCAACUGAACCCCAAGAGGCACCAGAUGGAUCCUACACCCAGCAAUUGAACCCCAAGGGGUACCAGAGGGACCCUACACCCAGCAAUUCAACCCCAAGGGCCACCACCUGGAUCCCAAACCCAGCAAUUGAACCCCAAGAGCCACCAGAGGGACCCUAAAUCCAGCAAUUGAACCUCAAGAGGUACCAGAUGGAGCCGGCACCUUUCAAUGAGACCCUACAGCCCUCAGUUGAACCCCAAGAGCCUCCAGCUGCACCCUAUACCCAUCAACUGGACCCUACACCCAUUAACCAAACCCCAAGAGCCUCCAGUUGGACCCUACACCCAUCAGCUGGACCCCAAAAGCCUCAGGUUGAAUCCAAUACCUAUCAAUUUGACUUUGCACCCAUUAAUUGGACCUCAAGAGCCCCCAGCCAGACCCUACACCCAUUAAUUGGACCCCAAGAGCCCCCAGCCAGACCCUACACCCAUUAAUUGGACCCCAAGAGCCCCAGCCAGACCCUACACCAUCAAUGGGACCCCAAGAGCCCCAGCCAGACCCUACACCAUCAAUGGGACCCCAAGAGCCCCAGCAUGACCCUACACCCAUUAAUUGGACCCCAAGAGCCCCCAGCCAUACCCUACACCAUCAAUGGGACCCCAAGAGCCCCAGCCAGACCCUACACCCAUUAAUUGGACCCCAAGAGCCUCCAAUUGGACCCUACACCCAUUAAUUUGACCCCAAGAGCCCCAGCCAGACCCUACCCCAUUAAUUGGACCCCAAGAGCCCCUGGCCAGACCCUACACCAUCAAUGGGACCCCAAGAGCCCCCAGCCAGACCCUACACCAUCAAUGGGACCCCAAGAGCCCCAGCCAGACCCUACACCAUCAAUGGGACCCCAAAAGCCCCUGGCCAUACCCUACACCCAUUAAUUGGACCCCAAGAGCCCCCAGCCAGACCCUACACCCAUUAAUUGGACCCCAAGAGCCCCCAGCCAGACCCUACACCCAUUAAUUGGACCCCAAGAGCCUCCAGUUGGACCCUACAUCCAACCACUGGGCCCUACACCCAUCAAACCAACCCCAAAGCCCUCAGCCAGACCCCAGACCCUCCCAGCUGGAACUCAAACCCCUCCAGCUGGACCCUCCAGCCACCAGUUGGACCCUGGAGCUGCCACCUGUCCCUCCUGUCCCAGCUGGACCCCAAGAGCAACACCAACACCCCCCUGCUGUCCCCUGGACCCCAAGAGUCCCCAGCCAGACCCCCAGGACCUCAGAGCUGGAGCCCUCAGCUGAUCCUGCUGAGCUGGGCUUUGGGAACGCCGCUGGAGUGGCCACGGGGACACCGUGGGGACACCGUGGGGACACCGUGGGGACACCGUGGGGACAUUGGGGUGCUCUGGAUGCUGCCGAAGGAGGAGGUUUGGGCGCAGAGGUGGCGGUUCCAGCGCUGCCCUUGGACUCACCUUGGCUGCCGGGAUCCAAACACCGAUUUCCCUCCAGGCAGCGUCUCCUGCUCCCGGUGGAUUCCUGCGGGGUGAAUUCCUGCUCUCCCUGCGUUGCCUCUGCCGGCUGACAUGGAGCCACGUGCCAGGAGCAAAGCUUCCUUCGCCGCCUUUAACUCUGUCCCUCCCUAAAAUCCUACAGUUCCCAGCUCCCCAUCCCACGGGCAGCACCUCACAUUGGGUAUUCCCAAUGCUGGGAUUAGGGCCUGGCUGGGCAGAGAUUCGGGAUUGGGGUGGCUCAGGGAGUGCAAGCAUCCAUCGGUGCAGGGAGGAUUGGGAUAAUUCCCUCCUGUGCUGGAGGGAUGCAGCAGGAAAGCUGCUUCAGGAACAGGAAUAGCUGAAAGAACUAAAUAUGGAAACUUGGAUAAAGCAGCGCUGAAGGAGGGAGAUGGUUUCCUAACGGGAUUCAAAGCAUAUAAACAAACUCAGGGAGGAGGGAGGUUGUCCAGAGGGGCCUUGGUGAGGAAGAGUUUGGAGAACCAGCUGGAAUUCUCUCAGCAGGGAAGGCUUUUCCGUGAAAUUUCCAGCUUUGUGGAGGAAGUGCCACCCCUGGGAACACAUUGUCGGGGGGGAAGAGAUAAUGAAAAAACCAGCCCUAAAAGAUUCUCUGUGGGAUUUUUUUUCCAGCUGCUUUUUGAUGAUAGGAGUGGAGAUCUCAGUUCCAUUGGAAGCUUUUUGCUCCCUUUGGUUUUUCUGGGAUCACCACCCUCACACUGAGAAAGCUUUGGCACUGCAGACUCCAGGCUGUGUGGCACUCACGAUUUCCUGGGAAUUUCUUCCCUGGAUGGACAAACCCCAAAGCUCAGAUGUGCCCUGAGAUCCCAUCAGAGCUCUCCCAUCUCCAAUGUCUCUUAAUUCCUUAAGGAGCUCGGCUUUGCCGGCUCCUCAUCACCUCCAGCUUUCCCUUUUGGGUUUGUGCCGGCGCCACGGGGCGGCUUAACGCGAUUAUCCCGCCACAACGGCCCUAAGAGGAUUCCAGCCUCAGCUCAGGGUGGGGACAGGGAUGAUCCUGCUGCAUGGAGGUGGGGGAGCCUGUGAGGGUGACCCCGGGAUCUGCAGCCCCCGCGGGUGCCACGAGCUGCCGUUCCUUGGCGUAGGGUGGGAAAUGCUCAUGGGUGGAUCCUGGAGAGAGGGGAGAUGGAGACACAGGGAAAGGGUGGGAAUGUCGGCGCUCUGGGGAGUCCUGGGGCUUCCCAGGAGGUUUUGGGACUUCUCAGGGAGGUCCUGAACCUUUCCAGAGGGCUGAGGUUUUGCAGGAGGGUCCUGGAGCUGCUCUGGAGCAUCCUGGAGCUUCCCAGGAAUGUCCUGGGGCUGCCCAGGGAGGUGCUGGGGGCUCCCAGGAGAGUCCUGGAGUUGCCCAGGAAGGUGUUGGUGCUUUCCAGGUUUAGGACAUCCCAGGGAGGUCCUGAAGCUUUCCAGAGGGCUCAGGCUUCCAGGAGGCUCCUGGAGCUGCUCUGGAACACUCUGGAGCUUCCCAGGAACGUCCUAGGGCUGCCCAGGGAGGUGCUGCAGCUUCCCAGGAGGGUCCUGGAGCUUUCCAGGGGACCGAGAUUUCCCAAAAGGAUCCUGGAGCUGUCCUGGGGUAUCCUGGGGUUUCCCAGGAGGGUGCUGGGGAUUCCCAAGAGUGUCCUGGAGCUUUCCAGAAGACUGAGCCUUCCCAGAAAGGUUCUGGAGCUCUUCUGGGGCAUCCUGGGGCUCCCCAGGAGAUUUUGGGACUUCCCAGGAUGUUCCUGGAGUUUUCCAGAAAACCGAGAUUUCCCAGAAGGGUUCUGGAGCUGUUCUGGGGCUCCCCAGGAGAUUUUGGGACUUCCCAGGAUGUUCCUGGAGUUUUCCAGAAAACCAAGAUUUCCCAGAAGGGUUCUGGAGCUGUUCUGGGGCUCCCCAGGAGAUUUUGGGGCUUCCCAGGAGGUUCCCGGAGCUCUCCAGAGGACUGAGGCUUCCCAAAAAGAUCCUGGAGCUGCUCUGGAGGCUCUGAGGAUGCUCUGGAGGUCCUGCAGCUGCAUUUAGAGAAGGAGAAGCUGCACCUGGAGAAGGGUUAUGGAAAGGGGCUGCUUUAGGGCAGGAUUGGGAAUCCCAAGGGGGAAUAACCCUGCCCUGGGAUGGUGCCAGUCCCUGCCCUGGCUGUGGGAUGAGCCCUGGCCCCUCUGGAAGUGCCCAGUGGGAUGAGUUCUGCAGCUGGGUCAGCUCCUUCCCUGCUGGAGGCCAUGUCCCACUUCUGGCAGGAGCAGGAGCUGUGUGGAGACCUGGAAAAAUCUCCUGGCAGGAGCAAUCAGGUCACCAGUGCUCCCCAGUUGGAUACUGGGACAGCCAGCGGGUUGAACUGGGUGCUCUCCUGGGAAAUCCUCUCCCCAGCAAAGGAGGAAUAUUGGGAAUGAGGCCUCCCAGUCGGAGUAUCUCAGCUUCCAGUGCUGAUCCUAAAGUUUUGGGGGAUUUUUCCUGAUUCCUGUCAGCUCUUUGUUAGGAAAUGAGGGCUGGGAGAAUGAGGGAGAGCAGGAUUCCUUUGGGAAUUCCCAUCUGGAGCUGAAAAGGGAAAAUUUCCCAGAACACAGAUUCAAACCUGAGCACAAAAGGGAUCUGGACCCUGGAUCAUCCCUCAGGAAUUUUGGGCUCCCAAGGGAUCCUCUGGCAACGCCCAUAGCUCAAAUUAUCUUCCCAGGGGUUUCAUUUCAAAGCAGAAGGGUUAAAAAAUUCAAUGUCCAGGCACAAAUAUAUUCCUAAAUAUCCUUAAAUAUUAUAUGGAUCAUCCCAGCUCAGACAGACACCGGGUGGGAGGUGACACAAAGGGUCAGGCCCCAAAACCUGGCCCUAAAUGGCUCCUUUUUCCUGCAGAUCCACAAAGCAGCGUGCCCAUGCCCAGAAAGAAUUUCUCUCCAGGUUUUCCCGUGCCUGUGGAUUUGUGCUUGUUUGGGAUCAAUCCAGAGUGCUGCUGGAACGGGAAUCCCGGGGGAUGGCGGGGGCUGAGCUGGGAAGGGCCAGCCCGGUUCUUCCUCCAUCCCAACCAAACCCCACAGCUCCCAAAUCCACUCUGGGGUGCAGGGGGAAGUGUUGGAGGGAUGGGAUGAGCAGGUGGAAGGUGCUGGAUGGGUCCAAACUCAUGAAAAGCGCCGCUGAAUUUGUGCUAAAUCACUUUCUCCUUUAUUUUUUUUUUUCCCCCUCCUUGUUUCUUGUUUUCCUUGGCUGCUGCACGUUCCGGGCAGGCUGACAGGGAGCUCUGUGGAGCUGCAAUCCCUGUGGGAAAAGCUGAGCAGCUCCAGACAAUGGAUCCAUUGCUGCUGGGAAAGGGAGCAGGUGGGGAGGAAACGGAGCCGCACAAAGAGGAGGAUGAGGAGGAGGAGGAAGAGGAGGAGGAGCAAGGGGGGAUUGUCCAGAAAUCCCUGGAGAGGGGCUGGAUGCAAGCUGGGUGCUCUGACAGCUGGGCCUGGCAGCAGCAGCAGCAGCAGGGCUGGGUAAUUAAUUAAUAAAUGAGGCUUUUCCCAGGGAAUUGUGAGGAUGGAUCAGAAGGAAAUGGCUCAGAAAUUCGGGAAUUCAAAAACAAAAA